AUUUGACAUGUCUAGGAGGACCAAAUUGUAAAGGGUGUAAAGUUUUCAGGGUAAAAAUGUAAUUUUAGAAAAAUAUGGGGCUAAAAUGUAAUUUUUAGAAAUUUUAGGGGUCCGAAUGUAAUUUAUAUUUUUUGUAUUUUUUCUAAUUUAUUAUUGCUUUAUUAAUAUUUUUAAAAUAUAAAAAACAAAACAAAACAAUAGGCCAAAGCCCAAACAAGUCCAAACUUAAAUUAUUUAAAACCCAAUCAUCCAACCCUACAUGCCCACCCAUUGGGCCCAAUCAUUAAGCCCACAUUAGGCAAGCCCAAAAAAAUCAUAAUUUUUUAAUAUAUAUAAAAUAAAAUAAGAUAAAAUAAAUAAAAUAAAACAAAAACACGAAGAACGUACCGGACAAAAUUCAGUGAUUACAGCUGCCCCUCUUUGCUCGUCGCUGUGAAACAGUGAUAGAGCAAAGACUUAAAAGCACUGAAUUUUGUUCGAUUGUCCAAAACCCCUUUUUUUAAAAAAUAGAGAUUGAAAAUAGCUCGACGCGCGACCCGAAGCUGAAUUUAUCUCUCGAGCCAUGAGUUGAUUUUUGAAAAAACAGAAACUUAAAACACCUCAGCGUGCAACCCGAGGCUCAACUCACCUCUCGCAAUAUGAGUUGAUUUUUAGAAAACAUAAAUUGAAAAAUACAUCGACGUGACUCGAG
rnacentral:lncRNA from 1 species